CACUUGAAGAGUGAAAAUGACAAAUUAAAUGCUGAAGUUAAUGAGUUGAGAAGUGAAGUGGCCUCUGUAAUGUCCAGCAAGGACAAGCAAUGUGCAGACUACCAAAAGCUUUUGAUUGAAGAGAGCCAGAAGUAUAAAGCACUUUCUGAAGAAGUUACGAGGCUGCAAAUCAUCAAGAGGGACAU